GUGAGCAGGAGUUAUUCAGAGGCACGCAAAUGCCAGCCCGUGGCGAUGCAGAGGUUAACUUUGUGUUGCAGGCACAGUAACAACUACUCAGAUCCACUGGUGAGCCAACAGGGAAAGUAUGGUGCCAGCGUAACACGGCAGGGAAAGAGGACUCAGGAGGCCGAUAAAAAGCACAGUGCAGGAGCCAAACACCUCCCCGUCCUCACCUUCACCUUCAUCUGCUUCCUACAACCCAUGGUCAGGGUCAUUUUUGAGUUCUGCCAUGUGGUCCGAAAAACAAAGAACUUCCAACCUCUAUGAACUAAGACCGUAUAGAAGAAAAAUCUGUUCUGAGAAAAGCAUAUUCCUGAUUACUGUAGCAGAUGCUGUCGACUACCGGGCGCCCCGUUAGCAGUAGGAGCACAUCCUCCAGCGUAGGGAAUGUGCCUGCAACAACCCACAGCCAGAUUCCCCCCCAGAAAUCGGCUGCAGCAGAA
rnacentral:lncRNA from 1 species